CCGACCUUAGCUCAGUUGGUAGAGCGGAGGACUGUAGUGAGUGUUAGAAAUCCUUAGGUCGCUGGUUCGAAUCCGGCAGGUCGGA
rnacentral:tRNA from 1 species